AUUGAACGCUGGCGGCAUGCCUUACACAUGCAAGUCGAACGGCAGCACGGGUGCUUGCACCUGGUGGCGAGUGGCGAACGGGUGAGUAAUACAUCGGAACGUACCUUAUCGUGGGGGAUAACGCAGCGAAAGUUGCGCUAAUACCGCAUACGCCCUGAGGGGGAAAGCGGGGGACCGUAAGGCCUCGCGCGAUUAGAGCGGCCGAUGUCUGAUUAGCUUGUUGGUGAGGUAAAAGCUCACCAAGGCGAUGAUCAGUAGCUGGUCUGAGAGGACGAUCAGCCACACUGGGACUGAGACACGGCCCAGACUCCUACGGGAGGCAGCAGUGGGGUAUUUUGGACAAUGGGGGCAACCCUGAUCCAGCAAUGCCGCGUGAGUGAAGAAGGCCUUCGGGUUGUAAAGCUCUUUUGUCAGGGAAGAAACAGCAGCUCUAACACAGUCUGCUAAUGACGGUACCUGAAGAAGAAGCACCGGCUAACUACGUGCCAGCCGCCGCCGUAA
rnacentral:rRNA from 1 species